rnacentral:rRNA from 1 species
ACUCCUACGGGAGGCAGCAGUGGGGAAUAUUGCACAAUGGGCGCAAGCCUGAUGCAGCCAUGCCGCGUGUGUGAAGAAGGCCUUCGGGUUGUAAAGCACUUUCAGUUGUGAGGAAGGUGGUGUCGUUAAUAGCGGCAUCAUUUGACGUUAGCAACAGAAGAAGCACCGGCUAACUCCGUGCCAGCAGCCGCGGUAAUACGGAGGGUGCGAGCGUUAAUCGGAAUUACUGGGCGUAAAGCGCAUGCAGGUGGUUUGUUAAGUCAGAUGUGAAAGCCCGGGGCUCAACCUCGGAACUGCAUUUGAAACUGGCAGACUAGAGUACUGUAGAGGGGGGUAGAAUUUCAGGUGUAGCGGUGAAAUGCGUAGAGAUCUGAAGGAAUACCGGUGGCGAAGGCGGCCCCCUGGACAGAUACUGACACUCAGAUGCGAAA